GUUGGGUUUUGAGUCUUGACGGAGGUGCUGAGAGCCGGCUGAUGAGGGGGCCCAGCCGUCCGCCAUAUUGCCGCCCAGUAUGCCGUGUCAUGUUCUCUGAACAAUCGCCCGUGUCCUUCUAGUUGGGUAAACAACGGAGGCUGUCAGCCGGUGUCAGGUUUGGGCUUUUCAAAGCAAAAGAAGGAGAAUGACAGAUGACUGCUCUGAGUGCAGCCGACACUUUGCUGAUAAUGGUGAUCUGAGUGCUGAUACGGAGAGGCAGAGUGCGAUGGGCGAGCGAGAUAUACCCGGUAAAACAUACAGAACCCACAGUUUUGACAAACACACUGCUGGGAAAGACUGCGAGGCACUUUCAGUGAGAUUCCCCGGCUCGCUUGAUUCUCUGAUUCAUCCGUGGCGGAAUUUGACAUGUGUUGAGGUUGAAUCACAUCCACAAUUGGUUCAUGGGGUUGACAAGCCACAAAAAAACAACAUGUCUGACACGGCCGGCACGAGCGUACCUGUAACCAGAGCCGAGGGACCGUGGCGUGCCAAAACUCGGCAACCCUCACGCUGAGAAAGAGUCCAGUUAGACCGGAUCUCCACCCCACACAUCAGCUCUCCUCACCCCUCGAGUGCUGGCCAGGCCUGCACAGUGGGGUGCCUCCAUCUGGACAAAUUCUACCCUGACAGGAAACAUGGCUGCAUUAAAGAACGUAUUCACAUACGGCCCACUCAGGACUGUCACUGCUGGAGACGGAGAGCAGACUGGAGGAGAGAGAGAGAGAGAAAGAGAGAGAAAGAGAGAGAGAAAUCUGUGAUUUCGCUUGAGCACUACAGAACUCUCAUUCUAUAGCCCAUCUGUCAACCAUUAUGGACCUGGGCCCUUUAGCUCCUCCUUCACAUGGAAUGUACAGAGAGGAUUUUUUCUGUUUAAAAUAAAAAGGCUGCACAUUAGGCAGAUGAAAUUACUAGUAUUCUGAAUGAAUAAAUUAUAUUAAUGUCUAUAUGACAAUGAGCAUUUAAAGGUGUGUGUGUGUGUGUGUGUGUGUGUGUGUGUGUGUGUGUGUGUGUGUGUGUGUGUGUGUGUGUGUGUGUGUGUGUGUGUGUGUGUGUGUGUGUUAGAGUUGUAAGCUACAUGUUAGUCGGACUGACACCAAAUUUAAGAUGUAACAGCAUGGUUUACAUAACACACUGUAUAUGAUAAAAUGCAUUUGUUAAGUGCAGUACAGAAUUAUGAAUUAAAAAAAUAGGCUUAAAAGGGGAGGGGGAGAAUUAACUAUGCAACUGUAAAACUUUUGAAUAACAGUUGGGUAUAAGUUGCACACAAUGUCAAAAGGAGUUAUACAAUUAAUAAAAAAAGUUAUAAAGUAAAUAAAGUAAACUUAGCGAAUGUAAAACGUGCUUUAACAAAUGUAAUAAAACAUUUUACAGGUUAUCUCGUAAAAAUGAAACUUUAUGAGGAACAAAACAACUACUGCAAAUGGAAAUGACAAAAGAUUUAUGAAUAGAUAAUUAGCGACCUCUUGUGGUCACAGUAUAGAAAAUAAAAGUGGCAAGGGUUGGUUUGACAUCAAGUUUAGAAAGUCCGAAUUUUGUGUCUUCAUUUUGUCAUUUUGGUAGAUUAAAUUUUAAGCAAGUAAUUGUAAAAUAAAUUAAGUUAAAAUAUAGGGGAAAAAAAGUUAAAAUGAGAAUUUGUGUGUAGUAGGUUUGUGAUAAUCCAAAUUUCUUUCUUUCUUUCUUUCUUUCUUUCUUUCUUUCUUUCUUUCAUGCAAUUGGGUGAACAACUGAACCAAUCCGAUUCAAACGCCUCUCUGAUUGGAAGGCGGAAAAAUGCCAAUCAUUUCUAAAAUGGGAGGAGCUUAGGUUCUACACCGAAACCAGUGGUCAGUUACAUUAAAACGUCCUAAAGUAAAGAGCUCCGUGUUAUCACCACCGUAAACCCGCUUAA
ensembl:lncRNA